GAUGAACGCUGACAGAAUGCUUAACACAUGCAAGUCUACUUGAAUUUGGGUUUUUUAACUUAGAUUUGGGUGGCGGACGGGUGAGUAACGCGUAAAGAACUUGCCUCACAGUUAGGGACAACAUUUGGAAACGAAUGCUAAUACCUGAUAUUAUGAAUAUAUGGCAUCAUAUAAUUAUGAAAGCUAUAAGCGCUGUGAGAGAGCUUUGCGUCCCAUUAGCUAGUUGGAGAGGUAACGGCUCACCAAGGCGUUGAUGGGUAGCCGGCCUGAGAGGGUGAACGGCCACAAGGGGACUGAGACACGGCCCUUACUCCUACGGGAGGCAGCAGUGGGGAAUAUUGGACAAUGGACCAAGAGUCUGAUCCAGCAAUUCUGUGUGCACGAUGACGUUUUUCGGAAUGUAAAGUGCUUUCAGUUGGGAAGAAAAAAAUGACGGUACCAACAGAAGAAGUGACGGCUAAAUACGUG
rnacentral:rRNA from 1 species